GCAUGUCGCCAUGCUCCAUGCUCCAUCCUUCCGGAUAGUACAAGACACCACAUUCAAGGGAAGGGACAUAUGUCCAAAUUUCAUUGGCGGGGCUACCUCAUCUGUGACUGCUGUGCUCUAAGGUUCUGGUGGAAAUUUGAGCAAAACCAACGUGCUGAAAACAACCCUUCAUUCAAACUCUCACAUUUCACAAAAUUUCAGGCAACCUAAACUGAGUCGCCCAGGAGGAAAGACAUCUUCAAAAUAAUUGUAUACCAAAGAAAACUUUCCAGCACAAUUCUGCUUGUUUUCACGAUCUGCACUGAUAAGCAAAAGAAAAGGAGGAUCCCAACAGCAAUAAGUGCCCAGAGAAGGAGAAAAUCCUCUCUGUGCAGAAAUCUCAAAAUACAGGAGGUGGUAUCUCAAAAGCAACAGCGUGAACUCCUGAGAAUAGAAACUUAGGAACUUUCUGGGUCAUACAAAAAUCUAAUAAUAUCUAGAGCUGGAUUGGCUGAAAACCACUAAAAAAUCUGCGAAAGAAAGCAGCAUUAAGAUCAAAUAUUAAGUGGUUACCCUGGACAAGAUUAAUGAAAUGAUUGCCAGGAAUCACUUAAGUACAAAGAAUAAAAAAAAAGAGA